GGUCUUAAAAACUCGUUAUUUUGACCAACAGAUCUUGCCCUUGUACCGAUGCAGCUCUCCUCCUUCCUGCCUUUGGCGAGAUGAGGGAUCGCUCCGUAGAGCAACAUGAGCAGGAAAGGAGUACAAAUGCAAUCUGCUGUCUCGCCAGAGGGCAAGUGGGUGAUCAACAAAGUGCAGUCUCUUGCCAACCUUGGACUGCUCUGCCAGGUGCCACAUGCCUCUGAGUCCCUCUUAAAGCACAGACUCCAUGGGGGAGUGUUCUGAAGUACAGCCUCUGCUGAGGGUGGCACUUGGACAGCUGGGCACCCACCCCGGAGAUCGCUGUCUGAAGAGGCGGUGCUGGGGUGGUGCUUAGCUCACUUGAGCUGUUGUUAAUGGGAAGAUGCCCUACUGACCAGGUCAAACCCUGGUUGGGUUUUUUUGUUGUUUUUUUUUUUUUUUAUCCUUUUUGAUCCCUCUUAAUAAGGAAUAUUGCUACUAUUGGAAAUUGUCUUUCAGGUUCUUUCCAGUAAUUUUUAAAGUAAUGGUUAUGUUUUGGUUUUCGCCAGUAGUUCAUUUCGAUAAAAACUAUGUCCUAUUUUUAAUAUCCACCUCAAUGCUUUUAGCCUCUGGUCAUGUAGUUGUGUGAUAAGUAACAGACUGUUACACACUUGCUGCUCAGGGCCUGUUUUUUUCUCUCCCUUAGUGUUCUGAACAUGAAAGAAACUUUCUUAGGAAUGGAAUACAUUUACCAUAAAAUGUUUUUCCUGGAAAGGAAAACCUAAGUAGCUCUAAAUUAUUUCCAGGUGGGCACCAGCAUCAUAACAAUUGGUUGGCCCGGUGGGGUGGGGUGGGGUGGGCUGGGUGGGUGGUUGUCAUACUCGUUUUCAGAAUGAGAUGAGGGCAUCUUUCCUUGGCCACCUGCUUUGUGCUGGACACCAUCGUGCUCGGUGAGAACAGAGCACAGCACAGAGUUUGGAGUGACAUGUUGGAAACAAAACAUCUCAUUCUGAUCAUUUGGUUUAUUUUUUUUUAAUAGGGGUGGGAGGGGAGGGUACUGUGUCCCAAAAGGGAGGGUGUCUGCACUAAGGAUUUAGAAACACUUUGGAAGCUCAUAACCUCAUGGGAAACUGCCUUUAGCCACACACACUCCUGACCUUUAGAUGAGUAACAAAAAGAUGAAAUAAGUUUGUGGGAAUUAAGCCAUGUUAUUUUAAUUGGAUACUUUUUUUUUUCAACUCUCUGUGUAUCUUUAAAAUUGUUACUGUGGAAUGAUUUUCUUGCCAAAUAACUUUGUCAGGCAAAAUUAUUGGCCUCAUGGGAGGUGAAGUAAGCCAGAUUUUGGGUAAAUUUAUGUGGACUUUGGUGAGUUUGUAAUUCUACUUUAUAUUCAUAAAGAUAGUUUUUUAAAACUCCCAAAGCAAAUCUAUUUUCUUCUCUAAUGUAAAAACUCAUCUUUGGAAUAAAGAGUUAAGUGUCCGAGGGUUGUAACAGAUAUGAGGUCAGAGGGAGCUAGCCUGGCCUGGACUCUGCCCCUCCACAGCUGACAGACUCCAACAGAAGUGUAUUUAAAUCUCCAGUAGACAGAGCUGGGCAGGGCAAGGGAGGGGUGGGCCUGGGUUAGUAAGCUGCAGGCUGCUGUAUUUUAACCAGUGGUUCUUGGGGAGGGGUGCUGGAGAAUACAAAGUCACUUCCCUUUUUUGAAACAAAACAAAUUAGAAAAAAACCAAUUUUUUUGUUUAGUAAAAAUAAGAAAAUUCUAAUGUCCCUAGUCACAAGGGACCAGUUCCACUUUGAGCAGUAGGAACUUAAAAAUUUGAAAACAUUUGGGGAAAGGGAAAAUUGGCUUUCUGUUUAAUUGGCAAAUGUUCCAGUGGGGAGGGUCUGUUUUUGUUGGGAUGUGUUACAGUGUAUGUACAUGUCUAUGGACCUGAGUCUUUAAGGAGUUAUAUACAUGGUUCAUUCAGAAAAGAUGGUUGGUAAAAUCUUGAUUGUUUCUUUUUGUUAAUUUAUCUCAAUAAAAGCCCACUGGAACUUC
rnacentral:lncRNA from 1 species